CCAGGAAGCCCUAGCAUCCUGAGGGAAGAGCAGUCCCUGGCUUUGGGAGGUGUACAGUGGCAGACAAGGGGCCUCUCUGUAACUGUCUGCCCUGCCACAGAAGUGGGUGCAUCUCAGUGCUGGGCGAAGGAUCCUCUGUGGCCACGGCUGGAUUGGCCAAUGCCCCAAAUUGAACAUACCUACCAGCUUUAGCAAGACCAGUUUUAUGCUGGCUUCCAAGUCAAUGUUAAAAAGUUAACAAGCAUGGGUCAGAACUUCAGGGGACUCCCAGCAACAUGCCCACACCUGUUUUCUGCUCCCAAUUCAACUGCCACCCCCAACUGUUCACUGGCACUGAAAUCAUUUGAUGGGGGCUUGGUGAAUUUGGACUUGGCCUGUGUUUUUGAUGCAAACUCUCUGACAUACCAUUGGGUCUCUGCCCCAUAAUUAAAGCAACAGCAUGCACGAGGGCAGAGACAAAAGAUGGGAAGCUGCAAGGUGGUAAGCGGUAGCCUGAGAAGGGAGCCAGGAGUCCCAAGCUCUCUCCCUAGCUCUGGGAGGGGAGUGGGAGCAGGUGGUUAGGGCAGGGGCUGGGAACAAGGACUCCUAGGUUCUCUCCCCCAGCUCUGCCUCUGUCCUGGUGUGUGAUCUAAAGUCACUUUGCCAUCUUGAGCCUCAGUUUCCCCUCCCAGCUUCUGUCAGGUUUAGUCUUCUAGCUGCUCAGGGCUGGGGUAUUGUCUCCCUGUAAUUCCCCUAACAGAGAGGUAGGGAAAUCUGGAGACUCAGAGGAGAAGUUAAGUAUUUAUUGAUUGGUUAAUUAAAAUAAGAUAGAAAAAUCAUCAAAACAAUGGAUUUUCCAAGAAGUUACAAUACCCCUUCCCCCAGGCAAUCAGCAGCCCCCCAGGGGUUAAUUAGCCUAACUCCAAAGCCAAUAGUAGGACAAGGCUCAGCCUACUGCCUGGCCACUCCUCAGAGUCGGCCAAUGAAUGAAGAGCUCUUCUCCCAUUGAGUUGAUCACUGGGGGAGACACCUCCCUUAGCUAAUAAUAGCAGCUCACAGAGAAGCCUUCUGAUUGACCCCCAGCUCAGCCAAUGAGAAAGAGUCAUGGAAAAGAAAAGCUAUUCAUUAGCUAGCAAUUGGCUAGCAAUGGAAGGGGAAAUCCAUUAAAAUCCAGCCUAGCCAUUGGAUCUGUGUCUGACCAAUGGGAAAAAAGUGCAGAUAACCCCAUCCCCAUCAUCUUUAUCCCAUAAGUCUAUUUUGCCUUCCCAUUGGCCUGUAGCUCAGACAAUGGACAGAGUCCUGCUUUGCCACUGGCCCAGACCCAGACUGGCUUUUUGCCCACCAACUAGUGAAGUGCACAGGUAGCACCCAACUCUUCUAUUGGUCAGUGAUGGGGAAGCCAGGACCACAUGGGCCAUUGCAGGAGCCAGGGCUUAAGUGAUGAUCAUUCUGGGUGGACAGAGUCAACAAGCCAAGGAAAACCCUAAUGCUGGAGGAGAGGGGAAGAGGUGGGACCUCUUCCCUAAAGGGGGACCCUCAGCCCUGGUGAGGGGAGUGAGAAAGUAAACUGUGUGGGUCCCUGGGGGUAGGAGGGCUUAGAGCACCAUUGCCAACCAGCCGAGGAUGAGGAGGGAGCCCCCAUAGGGGGCCGCUUUGUUGAAGGCCGGGUCUCCGCUCCAUGCAUGGUAAUACAACGGUCCACAGAACAGUCCCAUCCCAGAAGUGAGGAAGGCCCCAGCCUAGGGGGACAACAGAAAAGGAGGGGGGGGCAACAUCAGAACAGCAGGUGCCAUGGUGGAGUGUCUGAGUCCAACUCUAGUUCAAGGCACAUAAUGCCCUCCUCCAACCUCCUCAGUAGAUCUCUAAGCAGAAGCUAAAGGUUCUACCACAGCUGCCAAAUGGAGAGCUGCUCCAUCAGUGUGAGAAGGAGCAAGGUCUUGGGGUUCCUAGCUUGCUAUGGAACCCAACUGGGUGGGUAAAUCUUCAUAGG